GUCCCGGGAGCCCGGCCUCGUGCGCCGCGCUUUGAGGUGAGCCUCUCUGAGAAAUUUGUGAGGAGGGUCCAGCCGCGGGUCGGAAGGAAGGACGUGGGGAGCGAGGCUCGAGCGAGCGACAGCGAGUGCGAAGGUCGGGUGGCAGGGAAUUGCUCUCGCGCUGCAGGAUUUGCCCGGACGCCGGGGCCGGGGGUGGGGGCGGGAGGCCGCCCUGAGGUGAGGUGGGCGCGGGCCGUCGGCUCCAGUGCGAGACCAGGGGGAGGGCGGGGCGGAGCGGAGGAGCCGAGGGCGCCGCCGGCGUCCCUGGGAAGCUGAGCGCCGCGUAGCUUCGCCGGGGGGAGUGGGGUAGGCGCGGUGAGGCCGUGGGCCCCCACACCUGGCGGACCACAGGGGCCAGAAGCCCUGGAGCCCCGCCAGGGAAGGGCUGCGUCGCUGGCCAGGACCGAGCGCGGUAGAGCCUCAGCUGCUCACGGGGUCGCUGGAGUUGGGGGUGGCCCCAGGAGAAAUUAAAGGUGAAAAGCCUUAGCAGCAGAGGGAAGAGGAAGAUGGAGGCAGAGCGAGUGACCGAACUUGGAAGGGACAGCCGGGCGCAACAGGGCAGGGGGCGUCUGACUGUUGGAAACAUGGCUGACGUCUGGAGGCUGCAGCCAGUGGUCCGUAAGUCAGGUCAAGGACCCACAGAAGACCCCAGCAUGUCUUCACCUGGCCCACAGAAGCCCUGACAUCCAGUUACAACUGCCCCAGCCUAGUGAGCAUUUCGGCACCCACUCCUCAAUUCCUACCCCCAGCCUAACUUCGAAGGGGCGGUGAGCCACAGCAAGCCGGAGGAGAAAGUUGGAAGAGAGAGUGGACAAAAGAAUACCCACAGGCACCUUCCCCACAGUGGAAUAGCGGGGUUUUAGACAAUCAAGGAUAAUCACCUCUUCCUAUCCCAGUUCAGAAACGGAUGAAAAAGACACAGCAAUAAGAUGGGUGGGUAUCAAAAUAUCAGCUUUGCCACAAAUUAAAAACCUAGCUUGAAGGACAAGGCUUAAAUCUGCAAGCAAGAGGGCAAGCUACUAAAUCACCCGUUAAGUCAGACAAACAUAUCCCCCAGCCUCUAGGCCAUGAAACUGCCUCACCAAGCACUAUGCAAUUGAGUGCCCACCAGAAGACACCCCUCCAGUCAACCCACAGACCCCAGAAAGAGUACCCAGAGGAGCCUGAGCACACUCCACCCUAUCUGUUCUCUGAAAUUCAAUCAAAUGAGUCACUCUACUUCUCUGGAAGCAGAAAGAGGCUGGAAGUUUUUCUCCAGGUAAGUUCCUCCAUGUAGAAACAUGAAGAAUAGGGAUAAGGGGCUUCAGCCUGGAUGGAAUCUCACACUGAACCUGGCAAAGCUAGGUGAGGGAAGAGGUUUCAACUGGAUAAGAGUUUGAGUUUUGAUAUCUUAAUGGACUGGACUUUUUAUGAGUAAAAUAAUCCGCUCUUUUUAAUGUCUGAAAGAAAAGAAAAAGCUGUAAACUACGUCUGAGAAUUGACACAGUUAAGCUUCUAGGGGCAGUCAUGAGAAAAAACACUGUUCCUAUCUGCUUACAUACUACUGCAUCCAGCUUAUUCAUUAAGCCAGAUACAGAAGGCUCUGAGGAUUUUGGCCUCAACAACUGGGUAUAUGGUGGUGGUCAUUUACUAAAAUAGAGGUGUCUUUUAUUUAUUUAGUGACAGGAUCUCAGUCUGUCACCCAGGUGGGAAUGCAGUGGCACAAUCAUUAGCUCACUGCAGCCUCAAAUUCCAGGGCUAAGUGAUCUUCCGGGCUCAGCCUCCUGAAUAGCUGGGACUACAGGCGUGUGCCACCACACCUGGCUGAUUUUUUUAAAGUUUGGUAGAGACACGGGGUCUCGCUAUGUUGCCCAGGAUGGUCUCAAACUCCUGGCCACAAGGAAUCCUCCCACUUCAGCCUCCCAAAGUGUUGGGAUUAUAGGCAUGAGCCACCACACCUGGCCUAAAAUAGGGAAAGUUUGAUUGGAAAAUUCAGAUUAAAGUGGGGACAAGUUAUACUAGAGAUGCUUAUUAGACAUUCAAGUGAAAUAUUGAGUAGGCUGGCAUUCAGGAGAGAACAUAAUGCUAGAGAUAGGAAUUUGGGAGUCAUUUGCUUUCAGGUAGUAUUUGAAAUCAUGAGAUUGGACAAGAUGAAUUAGGAAAUGCACAUAAAAAAGAGAAGUUCUAGAAUGAGCCCUGGGGCACCGACCUUUUCCAGUAUAGAGGAAUGGCCAGAGAGAGGAGGAAAACCAGAGGAAUAUGAAGUCAUAAUAUAAGUGAAGACAUGGUGAUCUUUGCUGAGGCUUUGAAGGGAUUGCAAAAUGAAGACAGAAUUUAUUAUUGGAUGCAACAAAACAAUGUAUUGGUGACUGACAAGAGCUAUCUAAAGAGACAUGGGGGGAAAAGCCUAAUGGCAGAAUUUUGAAAGAAAUUUUCAGUUAAACAUGGCAGACUGAGCAUAAACAUUAACCUCCAUUUCCUGCCCAAACCCUACUCACAUAAAGUAAUAAAAGACCAAAAAAACCCCACAAAGAAUGGGAGAGGAGACACUAGUAAGCAAGAGAAGUCAACAAAAUUAUAGAGACUGGGAAUGGAUGGAGAAGUGAUAACUGAGUUAGCUAGAGAAAGUUGAGACUUACGUUUGUGGGUGAAGCCAACAAGAGACCAUUCCUGCCAGCAAAUACCAGGAAGGUGCAGAAAUUGGAAUAACUGGUGGAAAAUUUUUGUGAGGAACAGUAUGACCAUAGAUCCCCUCUCCUACUUGGGUGGAGGAAGUCUCCAGUAGUUGAAUCAGAGUAGGUGUUACCUCAGGCAUGAGGCAUAGCUGAGGACCACUGAAAGCAGACAGAUUGAGUUAAAGUCUACACAUGUGGGUCCAGGCUCACUUCUCCCACUUAGCCAGAUAGCAUGAGAUAGUGGGAGGAUCCCUCUGGAGCAGCUGGCCCACAAGAGUCCUGCAAACACUGGCAACUAUGACCUAGUAGAAAAACAAACCUAUUAGCUGGCAGACUGUACCCAUUGACAGUUUCCAACAAGCACCAUCAUCAGCAUGAGCCAGACAUUUGGGGAAAACAGUGCAACAUUACCUCCAGCCAUGCAAGUGAUCCAUCUUGGACCACUGACCCAGUCAAGCCUUCAGAUGACUAUAACCUCAGCCAAUACCUGACUGCAGCUGCAUGAGAGAUCCCAACAGAAAGCUGCCCAGCUGAAUCCUCCUCAAAUUUAAGCUACUAUAUUUGGGGUAAUUUGUUCAAUAGCAACAAAAAAACUAGAAAAAAGGACUACAAAGUGCCCAGCACAAUAAAUUGGGCAGGGGUUGGGGAGGGAAUGGGGAGGCAACAUAUGAAGUAAUGUCAUUGAGAAAUUUGAGAACACCAGGAAUAGAGAUGAUCUCAAAAAUUUCCAGCAACAAAAAAAGCAAAAACACAAAGGAACGAUUUCCAAUCUAAAAUUCUAUUCUCAUUCAAAUGAUGAAUCAAACGUAAGGAUAGAUAAGUCCAAAAAACAAAAAAAAACCAUUUCUUUACUCUCACAACAUCCUUUUGGCACCAGAUGUAGAGAAUUUCUCCCCACCGACAAGCAAGCAUUCAGCUGUACAGCAGACACCAGCUGGGUAUCCGCUUCAAUCCUGCACCGUCUACCUGGAGAUAGCAGCAGAUCACACAAGUUGAGGACUCUGUGCCGCAAGACUGAGCCCCAUGUCCAGUGUCAAUCACAAGCCCCAGGUUGUUUUACCUGUCCUUCUGGGUUCCCAAGACCCCUUCCUUGGCUUUAAUUUACAAGAGCAGUUCACAGAACUCAGGGAAACACAUGUUUAUUACAAGGCUAUUUUAAAGGCUACAAAUAGCCAGAUGAAAAGAUACACAGGAUGAAGCCUAGAAGAGUCCCAAGAGCAGGAGCUUCUGUCUGCAAGGAGUUGCGAAGUGCCAUUCUCUCAGCAUGUGGACGUGUUCUUGUCCACCUUCCUGGAAGCCCCCACACAUUUGGCUAUCCACAAGCUCUCUGAACCCUGUCCUUUUGGGUUUUUAGGAGCCCUCAUUACAUAGGCAUGAUUGAUUAAAUCAUUGGCCACUGGCGAUCAACGUCACUUUCAGUCCCUCUCCCCCAACCUCUGGGAGUUUGGGGGGUGGGCUGAAAGUUUCAACCCCUCUAAUCAUGCCCUGGUCUUUCAGAUGUCCAGUCCCUAUCCUGAAGCUACAUAGGAGCUGUCCGCCAUCAGUCAUCUUACUAGCAUACAAAAAGACAUCACUUUAGAGAUCUCAAGGAUUUUAGGAGUUGUAUAUCAGAAGGCAGAGACAAAGACCAGAUAUAUAUUUGAUAAUAUUACAGUAGAAAUAAAGACAUUUUAGAUAUUCAAGCUCAGGAGGCUACUAAAGGACAGGCUCCAUCAAGAAGAGAAAACCAAGCAAGAGGAAAAUAUGAUUCAGAAUCCAGGAAAUGUCCAAGUUAUGGCAAGAAGACAGGGGGUUCUCAGGAACAUCUCGAAGAGAAAGUGGAGCAUAUUACCUGAUGCACAUGACUUUGUUGGGAAGAGCUUUACAUUUAGGGCAGCGACUUUUGGGUAAAGUAGUGACAAGAGCAUAGAAAACCAAGCAAAUGAGAAAAACAAUGUAAUUAACUCCAGGAAAAAUCAAAAGUUGUACCUAAAGGAAAUGUAAUCAUAAACCAAUAAAGGGCUCAACAGGAAAUGGUAAACAUACAGUUAUACUAAACUGUGAAUGCAGGUUUCAGCCAAUAUCAAACUGCUUAGGGAGACUAAUAGGAGAGGAAAUGUGGGUGUCGAGGGUGGGGGUGAUAAUAUGUUGUGGGAAAGACAGUGUAAGAGAAGCUAACUCCUCUUCCAUUGUAGGAAGUCAACAAUGUCAAGUCAAGAUUAAGAAAUAGCAUUAUUUAAGUCUUUACAUGAAGCUAAUCACUAAAGAUCCCUGAGUUGAGUAGUGUGUGUUUGGAGAAGCAGGGAUUGAUUUGGUGGAGGAAGAGGUUCUCUUCUUAGUGCUGUUGUUUUCUCAGUGAAAUAAGGAGGACAUGAUCUAAGAAUGUUGGAGGUUUGAAGAGAAUGAGAAGACAUGAAAUAGAGUCUGGGGAUGUAGGAUUACAGUCAGGAGAUGCUGAGUGCCAGUUUAAGAUUGGUGGUCAUACGCAACAUCACCAAGUCUAUUAAUACCUCUUUCUGUAUAUGGCUCAAAUUUUAUCCCCUCUCUUCACACCAAUUGCUAACAAACUCACGCUUAUUCCCUUUGAAUUUCACCUGGAUGGCUGCAGCACCCACCUCUCAAGAUUCCUGCCCUACAUGCCAUUCUUAAAAGAAAAUGUGACCAGAUCACUUCUCUGCCUAAUCUUCAACAACGGGUUCUCACAGCUCUCAGAAGAAGGUGACAAGAAUCUCUGACCUCACCCUGCUGGCCUGUUCCCCUCACCUGGCCACACAACCAAGCUGGUACCUCCACGCUUUCAUCAUGUCCUCUCAAGUACACUGUCUCCAGCUACACCCCUGCACUCCUCUCCGGGAAUUCUGUUUCUCCUCUACCCAACCAGACCCUGUUCCAUCCUCUGUUUUUUCCUUGCUACCAAUUCAGGCCCACGCCUCAUGCACAUUCUCUGAGAAUUAUGUACAUAAGUACCUGACUCUCCUGGAUGUAAGCUGGGUGGGCUUAGCAGGCAGAGGCCCUGUGUCUUACUUUAUCUCUGCAUCACUGAUGUCUGGCACAUCAAGGACUGCAAGUUUGCUGAGAGAAUGAAUCGCCUUUUAUACAUGGAAAUGUAAGCUCUAAACUGCCUCAGAGCAUAUGCUGGUGGGUGACAAUCUGAGGAGGUCAUGAAUAUAGGAGAAUAUUGAAGAGGUCACACAGGGGAAACAACUUUUCAUUAUGAAAAACUGGGAGACUGACAUUUAAAUGGUUUAUCUGCAUGAUUAAAU
rnacentral:lncRNA from 1 species